rnacentral:rRNA from 1 species
GACGAACGCUGGCGGCGUGCCUAACACAUGCAAGUCGAACGGAACUGUUUUGAAAGAUUUCUUCGGAAUGAAUUUGAUUUAGUUUAGUGGCGGACGGGUGAGUAACGCGUGAGUAACCUGCCUUCAAGAGGGGGAUAACAUUCUGAAAAGAAUGCUAAUACCGCAUGACAUAUCGGAAUCACAUGGUUUUGAUAUCAAAGAUUUUAUCGCUUGAAGAUGGACUCGCGUCCGAUUAGUUAGUUGGUGAGGUAACGGCUCACCAAGACCGCGAUCGGUAGCCGGACUGAGAGGUUGAACGGCCACAUUGGGACUGAGACACGGCCCAGACUCCUACGGGAGGCAGCAGUGGGGGAUAUUGCGCAAUGGGGGCAACCCUGACGCAGCAACGCCGCGUGAAGGAUGAAGGUUUUCGGAUUGUAAACUUCUUUUAUUAAGGACGAAAAUUGACGGUACUUAAUGAAUAAGCUC